CAGCUUUUAUAAACCUGUAGGUUUAUGUAUCUUGCAAAACCUGGGACAUUUUCAGCCAUUGAUUUUUCAAGUUCCCUCUCAGCCCUGUCUUCUCUCUCUUUUUCUUUCAAGACGCCAAUGACAUGAAGGAUCUAGAGGACCAGGAGUAACAAGGAGCAAGAAUUAUCAUCUUGAAGAUGACCAACUGUAGAAGUACCCCUGUUAUUUCCUAUAGAAGAAAGACAUCCCCCGAAUGAAGGAUGAGAAGCAUAAACCGCUUUCACUUCUCAAAUGUCAAUUCCAGAAAUAAAUGAGCCAUCACAAGCAGAGUUCCUUGCAAGGCUGAGCCCAGGCACACCUGUCAAGGGGAUGUUUCCGGUGGCACUUUCAGCUUUCUCCAGCCUUGCCACACCUGGUGGGCUCUGCUCUCUGCUCCACACAGGCACUCUACUGUUCCUUCUAUCAACUCCUUCUUUCAGGAAAAGAGCUGGAUGUUAUCUUUACUGGGACCAAGGCUGGGUCACAGCUGACAGCUUGAAGUUUCCUACUUAAUAGGUUUCUUUAAAGACUAAAAAUGGCUGAAAGCCAUAACUUGGGUGAACGCCUGCUGGCUGAGGGUCAAGCAUUAGCUGGUAGGUAAAGGGGGACAUUAUUCAGGCAGGAAAAUAUUGCCAGUGUCCCUGAAAUUCCUACACAGAGCUGCUGACUGGGCCCUUCAUAAGGAUAUGGAUGGACAAGUAAGCAUCUUCCACGAGCACACACCUGC
rnacentral:lncRNA from 1 species